rnacentral:rRNA from 1 species
CAAACUUGAGAGUUUGAUCCUGGCUCAGAACGAACGCUGGCGGCAUGCCUAACACAUGCAAGUCGAACGAACCCUUCGGGGUGAGUGGCGCACGGGUGCGUAACGCGUGGGAACCUGCCUUUAGGUUCGGAAUAACAGUUAGAAAUGACUGCUAAUACCGGAUAAUGUCUUCGGACCAAAGAUUUAUCGCCUUUAGAUGGGCCCGCGUUAGAUUAGAUAGUUG